UGGGGAAUCUUGGUCAAUGGGCGCAAGCCUGAACCAGCUAUGCCGCGUGAGUGAUGAAGGCCUUCGGGUUGUAAAGCUCUGUGGGGAGGGACGAAAGCGUAGGGUCUAAUAGGCCUUUCUUUGACGGUACCUCCUUAGCAAGCACCGGCUAACUCUGUGCCAGCAGCCGCGGUAAGACAGAGGGUGCAAACGUUGCUCGGAAUCACUGGGCGUAAAGGGCGCGUAGGCGGGAAUGUAAGUCGGGCGUGAAAUCCCCAGGCUCAACCUGGGAACUGCACUCGAAACUGCGUGUCUUGAGUAUCGGAGAGGAAAGCGGAAUUCCUGGUGUAGAGGUGAAAUUCGUAGAUAUCAGGAGGAACACCAGUGGCGAAGGCGGCUUUCUGGACGGUAACUGACGCUGAGGCGCGAAAGCGUGGGGAGCAAACAGG
rnacentral:rRNA from 1 species